rnacentral:rRNA from 1 species
CGAACGGGUGAGUAACACGUGGGUGAUCUGCCCUGCACUUUGGGAUAAGCCUGGGAAACUGGGUCUAAUACCGAAUAGGACCACGCGCUUCAUGGUGUGUGGUGGAAAGCUUUUGCGGUGUGGGAUGGGCCCGCGGCCUAUCAGCUUGUUGGUGGGGUAAUGGCCUACCAAGGCGACGACGGGUAGCCGGCCUGAGAGGGUGACCGGCCACACUGGGACUGAGAUACGGCCCAGACUCCUACGGGAGGCAGCAGUGGGGAAUAUUGCACAAUGGGCGCAAGCCUGAUGCAGCGACGCCGCGUGAGGGAUGACGGCCUUCGGGUUGUAAACCUCUUUCAAUAGGGACGAAGCGCAAGUGACGGUACCUAUAGAAGAAGCACCGGCCAACUACGUGCCAGCAGCCGCGGUAAUACGUAGGGUGCGAGCGUUGUCCGGAAUUACUGGGCGUAAAGAGCUCGUAGGUGGUUUGUCGCGUUGUUCGUGAAAACUCACAGCUUAACUGUGGGCGUGCGGGCGAUACGGGCAGACUAGAGUACUGCAGGGGAGACUGGAAUUCCUGGUGUAGCGGUGGAAUGCGCAGAUAUCAGGAGGAACACCGGUGGCGAAGGCGGGUCUCUGGGCAGUAACUGACGCUGAGGAGCGAAAGCGUGGGGAGCGAACAGGAUUAGAUACCCUGGUAGUCCACGCCGUAAACGGUGGGUACUAGGUGUGGGUUCCUUCCUUGGGAUCCGUGCCGUAGCUAACGCAUUAAGUACCCCGCCUGGGGAGUACGGCCGCAAGGCUAAAACUCAAAGGAAUUGACGGGGGCCCGCACAAGCGGCGGAGCAUGUGGAUUAAUUC